GUGCUUGCUUCAGCAGUAUUCAUAAUAAAAUUGGAAUGAUAGAGAGAUUAGCAUGGCUCCUGCACAAGAAUGACAUGCAAAUUUGUGAAGCGUUCCAUAUUUAA